rnacentral:rRNA from 1 species
GAUGAACGAUGGAGGCGUGCCUAAUACAUGCAAGUCGAGCGAACAGACGAGGAGCUUGCUCCUCUGACGUUAGCGGCGGACGGGUGAGUAACACGUGGAUAACCUACCUAUAAGACUGGGAUAACUUCGGGAAACCGGAGCUAAUACCGGAUAAUAUAUUGAACCGCAUGGUUCAAUAGUGAAAGACGGUUUUGCUGUCACUUAUAGAUGGAUCCGCGCCGCAUUAGCUAGUUGGUAAGGUAACGGCUUACCAAGGCAACGAUGCGUAGCCGACCUGAGAGGGUGAUCGGCCACACUGGAACUGAGACACGGUCCAGACUCCUACGGGAGGCAGCAGUAGGGAAUCUUCCGCAAUGGGCGAAAGCCUGACGGAGCAACGCCGCGUGAGUGAUGAAGGUCUUCGGAUCGUAAAACUCUGUUAUUAGGGAAGAACAAAUGUGUAAGUAACUAUGCACGUCUUGACGGUACCUAAUCAGAAAGCCACGGCUAACUACGUG